rnacentral:ribozyme from 17 species
GUUUUUGGUAAAAACCGAGAGUCACUCGGAGCCUCAUCAACUAUAGAAUACGCAACGAAAUUCAAUGGUUCUUGAUCCUCUUUCUUCUGUAAACUACUAUCAAUACCGUUGUUGAGCAAAAACUCAAGGUAAUCGUUAUAGCCAUUGCCAUCAUCGGAUUCGGUGUUGAUUUCAGGUGGACCUUGUUCUGCUUCCAAAAAUGUUCCGAAA